ensembl:lncRNA
AGCACAAACAAGAAAGACAAGGAGGGAUAAUUGCACUGUAAAUGCCCUGCAAAUCACGGCAGGGAGGAGUUCCAUCAGGAUAACAAACUGCAGUCUGUGGAAAGCCAUUUGUUGCAGGGGCCAGCAGGUACAGAAUUAAAAGCAAAUCCAAGCAGAAGCAGCAGUGUCUUAACUGUCUGCUUUUAUUCCUGUUUUAUCAACAGUGAUUUCAUGUUGCCUCUCCCCAUGAUGCCACACAUUACUAGGAGAAUUUUCCACAUGGAGCCAGCAGACUUCUAUCUGCAAAGAGAAUAUACUUCAGGGUAACUUCGUACCCUCAUGCCUCUCACCACACUUUGUUUUUCUGCUCUCUGGCAGGCUGGGAACGCGUGCCAAGCAGUGUGUGUGCUGUUCUGAGGUAACCUGGAGCCAAGGUGUCCCACAAAGAUCCACCAGCACCAGCAGCAUGAGCUCCAGCCUCACAUGGCCCCUUCCAGCUUGCCCACGCCAGGGCCUCGUGUUCCCACAGCAGAUGCCCGAGCCUUGUGUUUGCUGGCUACACAGAUACUCCGAGGGAGGACUUAGGGAUUCAAAUCAUCACUGAAGGUAAAAGCCCUCACAGACAUGAGGACACCGAAGUCCUUCAGAGCACGGCCACAGGGUGAGUGAGCAGUAUUUCCCAGCUUCUGUUUUGUUCAAUUCAAGGCCUGUGAUGUUUUGAAAUGGAGGAAUGUUUUUUUUUAUUCCUGAAUCAAGUUUCUUUAGAACUUCAUUGGUAAAUGUUGGCAUAAUUGCCGGUGGGACUUGACCACACAAGAACAUUUAGAAGGAUUUUUUAAAAUUGAGGUCUCUGCCCUGGCUUUACUCUACUGCCACUGACACAAGAACUCUGAAACUCCCCGGAAAUGUUCAGCUCUAAGACAUUUUUCAUAUACUGGUGUGCUUAGCAUAUACAAAAUAUUCUAGGAAAUAACUAAACCUUUGUCAAUACUUCCUGGCAAGGAAGUUCCCUUUGUAGUUUUAGUCUGGAAGACAAACAAGUGAGCCCAAGAUUGUUCGUGUUCACAGAGUAACUUUUAUUUACUUAGUCAGUAACACUGGAAAACAGAUGGCUACAGAAACACGUGGGCAACUCCUUCACCCUCCAUUCCCAGUUCAGUGCUGUUGGAUAAAAGCCACAUUAACUCUAAAGCUUAAUGCAGUGCAUGUGGUAAGAAUUACACAGGAAAAUUCCCAUUAAAGAAAUAGAGUUACAAAUCUGACAAUUUCUCUUCUCAAGGCUAAAAUUCCUGUCCACAAGCCAACAACAGAAGAAAAAAAAGAUAAACAUCUCUGCACCUUUUUGUGACCUGUGCUAGAAAAAGGUAAAUGAAGAAAUGAUCAAAUAAGGUUGUGAUAUUUAUUUUCUUGCUUUCACAGUCUAAAACAAAACCUAAUAUUAAUUGUCACAAGUAUCCUUGUGCUAAUAUCUCCUUUUCAUUCAAUUGACAGGCUCUGUUGUGUUAUAAUGUUAAUCCAUUUUGACAAUACAGACAGGAUAUCUUCAUAAAAAACAGAUCUUAACAAGACUUUCUGUUGACCCUUACCACACAGCUAGGUUAUUU